UUUAGAGUCCAUUACUCAUGUGGAGGAGUGCAGAAUCAAAUCCGGUUCUCCAAAUACAAUCCACUGCUCUCAACUACUACUUCCUGAUUUUUCCAAGUGAUUUUACCUAACAAUCCACAAAUAGUUUUGUUGACAUACAAUGCCCUGAAGGAAUAUGUGAUAUACCUUCUUUGUGUACAUAGAAAUUGCAGUUCCUGUGCCUACUCCCUUCCUGUGCCAUCAAUAAAAUCCGCAGCACAAAUGGCUUCAGGAGUUGCUACAGGCAAUGCUUCAUAGUAAAUAGAUGAUGUCUUAAAAGCAGAUAUGGCCUGUACAUGGAGUAUCACUCUCUACUUAGCAAAAAUAUUGUGCACAAUGCAUACUAUCACUCUAGCUAGUGCAGUACAAUCGUAUUUCCCUCUUUUAUCAUGCAUAAUGCUGAGCUCCCUCAGCUUCCCCCAAAGGAACAGUCUGCUCAGUAGCUGUCACAACAGGGCCACUUCCUACUAAGAAGCUUGUAGCACUCUAAAAAACUGACCAACAAUGAAAGUAUAAAGCCUUACAUUUCAAGCAGUUCUUUAUUAUUUACCAGCUCUGGCGUAACUCCUUUGCAUAGAAGGAAAGGGCUUACUCAUGGAGAUGAAAGCCUGAAGAAUAUUGCAGUGUCGUAAGAAGACAACAAGAAGUCUUGUGUUCUGAACAUCAACAUGCAGCAAAAGAGAAUCGGUCAGAUAGGGGAGCAGAGAUUAGAAAUGUUUGGCAGUCAUCACUGUGCUUGUAAAACUAGCAAGAGCCAUUUGGGACAGAUAUCACACACUCUUAGAAUACCUGUGACCAUUCUCCUUACUGUAUCUAAAGCGGAUGUUUCCCUCUUGCACUAGCACAUCCAAAAGCAUCAAUUAGAUCACUAAUUAAUCACAAAGUUAAAUUUAUAUUGUAGGUGUAAGCCAAAGAAGAGUCCUUCCCUCAAAUUCCAACUAUCUAGUGCAGACCUGGGCAUUAUACGGCCCAGGGGCCACAUCCGGCCCGCCUGAUGACCCUGACUGGCCCGUAUUCGCGAUGACUACGUCUCAAUAUGAUUAGCGUCGAAAGCCGUCAAUCAAACCCAUGGCUCCAUCGAUUGAAGGAAUUCUUCAGUGAAAAAUCAACAACAAGGAGGAUUGUUAAGUGGCCAUCUCAAGCAGUGAUGCUGACCAUGGACUCCUGUUUAUCACUGUCAACACUGGAAUCAAUUUCUAGGCACUACUAGCCUGCCAACAAUGUCUCCACAGAUUCAAGGAAUGUGACAUAUCAACCCCCAGAAUUUGGAUCCAUUCCUCCCUUCCCUCAAGAGUACUGUUGGCAAGCUUUGGAAAAGGUUAUGCAAUUCUGCUAAGCACUAUUAUUCCAUGCAAGUCAUUUUCUACAGCUGUGGUUGCAAUUGCUCUAGUCACUUUUGAAUUAUAAUAUCCCUGUUUCACACUAAGGGUGUUUGUUUAUAAAGGUCUCCUCUGGGUUUCAUGCUUGCUUAUUCAAGACAAUAAACAGGUGCAUAGGGUAUGUACCUAAACAAAUCCCAGACUGAUACUCUGGUGUUCAUGUGGUAAAUUCUGGGUUGCACAAAGUUGUAAUAGUCUACAUGCAUUUACACACAUACAUGACUCUGUACUUUUUUGGAACCAUUUUUCUUGCACUUAAUUGCAUAUUAAAAUCAUAGACCACAGGAAAUUUUUGAACCCAAGGGCCUUUACUUGAUUUAAUAUAUUCUGUAUGCAAUCUAAUGUCUUCUUAAUCAUUAAUAACUGCUUGGUUAGCCUGAUAUAUUAUGUCAUGUUUCUAAAAGCAAAUUCCCAAGAAGCAAUCACAGAUAACUCAUACAAGAAUAUUUCAAAAUAUCACUCUUCCUUUCUUAUGAAUGAACACCCAUUUUUGGCUUCAGAACUUCCAAAUUAAAGAUGGAAGUAAUGGGUUUUCACAUAGUCCUGUACCUUUUGACUGUGGGAAGCGCUGUGUAAUGCUAUGACAAAUAACUAAAAUAAAAAUUUUAUUUUGA